GACGAACGCUGGCGGCGUGCCUAACACAUGCAAGUCAAGGGAUUAUUUGUAGCAAUACUGAUGAUCACUGGCGUACGGGUGAGUAACGCGUAGAUUACCUACCCUCUACUCAGGCAUAACAUUUCUAACGAAUUGCUAACACCUGAUGAGGAGGAAGCUCCAAACUUUGGUAGAGGAUGGGUCUGCGUCUGAUUAGCUAGUUGGUAGAGUAACAGCCUGCCAAGGCGACGAUCAGUAGCUGGUCUGAGAGGACGAACAGCCACACUGGAACUGAGACACGGUCCAGACUCCUACGGGAGGCAGCAGUGAGGAAUAUUGGUCAAUGGUAGAAAUACUGAACCAGCGACGCCGCGUGUGGGAGUGACGGGGCUAUGCCUUGUAAACCACUGUCGGAUGGGACGAAAGACGAGUUACGC
rnacentral:rRNA from 1 species